CAUGCAAGACCUUUCAGCAUUUGUUUGCGGACUACUUCCUCAUCACUUCCCCUGCCUGCCCCUGAUUCUCCUGUUUCAUCUGCUCCCCGGUAAACCACUCCAACUUCUGUCCUCCUCAAGAGCUCUGCUUCUGCCUUCCUGGCUCCUGUUCACCUGUGUUCUGUGGCGAGAGACAGCUCUCCAAAAUUCCACUCAUCAUUGCUGGUGACAAACUCUGCUGCCCCAUCCAUGGCUGGCUUCGCAUCGGUGAGACUGUUCCUCCUCAAGUGCCAGCUCCUCACUUGUUUUCCGCUCUGGCGUACCAUGCCGAGGUCUGUGGACUGCCUCCGAAUCCCUGAAAGCUCUGAACAUGAACAUUGACUCUCUCAGCAGCUUUACCACCCUGUUCUCCCUGUAUUUGUUUAA